AGCCAAAGAAUUUCUUGUAAUGUCAAAAAGGUCAAACACUCACUACUUCCAGUUGGGGGCAAGUACUCUCUUGGUCUUGUAGUAGCGGGCAAGCCUGUGGAUUCUGCUCUCAACCAGAAUCAGGCGGAACUUAGCAUCCUUGUCCUGCAAGACCACAAGUGACAAAGAUGAGACAAAACAGCUGAAACACAUUGGACUAAUUUUUCCAUGAUUCUUCAAAAAUGAUCAUCUGCACUGUAAAGAUGCAGGUAAUAUGAAUGUCUGUUUUAUUACCUUUCUGUUCCUUUCCAAGUGCUUCCUCACAGCGACAGCCUUCUUGAUGAGGUGGUAGAGAUCCUCAGGAUCUUGUUGCCAGUGACAAAACGCACCUGAGCAACACCAUGGGAAUCCCUCAGAAUCACACCUAAUGAGAAAACGGCAGGUGAUAUUAGUUACACAAUGACAUUGUGCAGACAGACACAACACAGACAUCUAAUACACAAAUAUGAAAACACAAGAUAGAAAAAAAAGGAUGUAUAAGCAUCUAUAAGCAUUGAGCCUAUAGAUAAACAUCAAAUUAACACAGAAGCAUUCUCUUCUACUGGAAAGCAGCUUACAAAUGUCAAAUGUGCGUCCGCUGUAACCAUUUUACUCAUUACAUUUAUUCAUAUUAGUAGAUUGUUUCCUUUAAUGUUCUUAAUUGAUUUCAAACUUGUCUUCGCAUGAUCACGGUGUUCUAAAAUGCGCUAGAACAAUCUUGAGAAAUUAUUGUUAUACAACGGACCUGACUGCACUUGGUAAGAGUCCUUUGAUACCAAUAAGAACUUACCGAUCUGUGAGGGAGUCAGACCCUUCUUGGCCAGUUUGAAGAUUUGCUCUUUAACAUCAUCGGAUGUCAGCUUGAGCCACUAAAAUACAAGACAACUGACUAUUUUAACAGCCUUAACCAUUUAGAUUUGCAUUAUCGUUCCACACAAUUCUGAAUCAGUGGACUUACUGUGGGGACACUUCGUCUAUAGGGCAGCGCCGACUGGGACAAACCCUUGCUAAAAAAAUAAAGCAUUUAACAGUUAAAUACAUUGUCCAUAAUGAAACCGUAAAUUACAACUUAUACAAAAACUCCCUUUACCUUCCGUAAGCCACAGUGUAAACAUGUUAACUGAUAACAGGACAUAUAUAUAAAGCAUAGAUAAGUGAACAAAAUGGUAUCUUAAAUCUAUAGUGAACUUGAAAUUAGAGUUUGACUAUUUAAUGCUCUGAUGAAUGCAUAAAAACAAUUUAGGAGGUGGUCUGAUAAGCCCUAACUAACCGCCGAGCACAUCUGACACACAAACGUUAAAAUAAGCGACAUUCUACCAGAACAAUCAGACCGCAGAUAAACGGUCAAUGUGAACUGAAUCAGUGAGUAAAGAUCCUUCACGUGCCCGUCCCGCAGCGCCUCAGUCUACAUGUGCUGCCCUCGCGCUAGACAGGGGAAGAGAACGUGGGACUAACUGUACUCUCAAAACCUCUUCUCUAGCUCCAGUGGAAAUACAUAUUCCAGACUCAGCAUAUGUCAUAAAGAGUUAACAGUAUUUUGGGUUGGUAGUGUGGCCUAUAGAGUGUGUUUUUAGCGUAAAAUAGACGUUUACCCAGGAGCGUGCAUACGACCCAUGAUGGCGGUUUUGCG
ensembl:lncRNA